AUGAGAGCUUCGAAACUGCUCGGAUUCCUGACUUGGAGAACACACCUGAUGCUUCAUCCGAUGUUUCACCAUUUGCUGAUUCUGGAACACUAAGGAUCAUUCUGCAUAGAAGAGUUCUGCUGCAUCUGGACUGUAGAGUCCAGACUUACCUGUUCUUCAGCAACACAACUACCACCACUGGUUCUCUGUCUGGAGCCAGGUGCAGUGACACACACCUGUAAUCCUAGUGAUUCAGGAGGCUG
rnacentral:lncRNA from 1 species